rnacentral:lncRNA from 1 species
ACAUUUUCUAGAUAUAUUUUCUGUAGUGAUAAUAUUCAAAUUCAAUUAUGAAUAUUUUAAACUCCACCUUGUAAAAAUUCUAGAGGGUCCAAAUCAACUCGAAAUGGAGUGAUUCCAGUUUCGAGAGACUCCAAAUAUCAUGCACCAUUUUUCAAUCGUUAGCCAACAUUUUUUUGUGCAUUAUUUCUGUUGCACCAAAUAAAUAGGCCCUUUUUACCAUUUGUCCCAUGUUAGAAAAUCCAUAGGAAAUUCAUACCAAAUCCAAAACCAAUGAAAUCACUUCCUAAAUAUUUCUAAAUUCAUGCCCUAUCAAAUGAGUGCCUCCACUCAUUUUUAACAGAAUAUUUUCUGUAGACUCUUUGUGGGGCGAUUGAUGCCUCCAAUUCCACCAUUCAAAAUUCUUCGGUGAUCCAAAACCAUUAGAAAAACUUUAGGUAUUUUUCUUAUGACCAAAGAUAUACAAAAAAAAA